rnacentral:sRNA from 1 species
UCGCGGGUUAAACCUACGGAAGCGGGA